GAGCGGGCGUCCAGAGCCUUCGACAGGUCCACAGACCCUGGCUCUCCCUCCCAGCCCAGCACGCCUGGCUUCCGGGGACACCGUCAGCCCUUGGCUAGAGAUGACGGGCAGCCCCACGGGCUCGGUGCCCCGGCCUCACCCCGCGGCCUCGGAAAACCAAUGCUUCGAAUAGGAGAGGCAGCAUCAGUGACAAGUGGACGGACCACGCAUGAAGCCAGGCUCCGGAGGCUGAGGCGGGGAGGUCACAAGUUCACACCCAGGCCCCCUCCAGGUCCCGGUGAGAGGCUGAGACCAGACAGCGAAGAGCGAGCGUGGCACAAGCCCUGAAGACAGCACCCGAGAGAAGCAAGCCCCCGCCCCCGGAAGUGACAGAGUGCUCUGCUGGCAGCCCCACCUCCCAAGUCACUCGGGGAACAAUCGCCUAACUUCCCCACCACGAAGCUCCGCUUACAGUGCCCACCGAGAAGUUCAAACGUGCAGUGGAUUUAAACCUCACCUCUGGCUGCAGCCAAACACCUGCCUCCACUCUGUCCCCCCAGGCCCCUUGCCCCUAUAGGAGUCACCUAGCCAGCCCCUGGCCGCUGCUCUGCCAUUGUUCGAGACAGCCCGGCACCUGUCCCCUAAUAAAGGCUUCGUCUUGGGUGUUGUGUUUUCGGCUCAUUCUCGUCCUCUCCCAAAG
rnacentral:lncRNA from 1 species